AGGGGGGAUAACGAUCCGGAAACGGGUGCUAAUACCGCGAUAGUUUUCUUGAUCGCAUGAUUGAGAAAGGAAAGACGGCCUUUGUGCUGUACGCUUAUGGAUGGAACCCGCGGCGUAUUAGUUAGUUGGUGAGGUAAUGGCUCACCAAGACGAUGAUACGUAGCCGACCUGAGAGGGUGAUCGGCCACAUUGGGACUGAGACACGGCCCAAACUCCUACGGGAGGCAGCAGUAGGGAAUCUUCCGCAAUGGACGAAAGUCUGACGGAGCAACGCCGCGUGAGUGAAGAAAAGGUUUUCGGAUCGUAAAACUCUGUUGUCAGAGAAGUAACAAGUUGGAGAGUAACUGCUCCAGCCUUGACGGUAUCUGACCAGAAAGCCACGGCUAACUACGUGCCAGCCGCCGC
rnacentral:rRNA from 1 species